GGCAGAAUGGCAUAGUGGUUUGAGUGUUGGACUACAACUCUGGAGAACAGGGUUUGAUUCACAGUUCAGCCA